rnacentral:tRNA from 1 species
GGAUGUGGCUCAAGUGGUAGCGCGCUCACCAGGCAUGCGUGCGGCCCGGGUUCGAUCCUCAGCACCA